AACGAACGCUGGCGACAUGCCUAACACAUGCAAGUCGAACGAGACCUUCGGGUCUAGUGGCGCACGGGUGCGUAACGCGUGGGAACCUGCCCUUAGGUUCGGAAUAACUCCCCGAAAGGGGUGCUAAUACCGGAUAAUGUCUUCGGACCAAAGAUUUAUCGCCUUUGGAUGGGCCCGCGUUGGAUUAGCUAGUUGGUAGGGUAAAAGCCUACCAAGGCGACGAUCCAUAGCUGGUCUGAGAGGAUGAUCAGCCACACUGGGACUGAGACACGGCCCAGACUCCUACGGGAAGCAGCAGUGGGGAAUAUUGGACAAUGGGCGAAAGCCUGAUCCAGCAAUGCCGCGUGAGUGAUGAAGGCCUUAGGGUUGUAAAGCUCUUUUACCCGGGAUGAUAAUGACAGUACCGGGAGAAUAAGCUCCGGCUAACUCCGUG
rnacentral:rRNA from 1 species